rnacentral:tRNA from 1 species
GUUUCUAGGGUGUCAUAACUGCACAUUAGAUUUUCAUUCUAAAGGAAUAAAAUAAAUUUAUUAGAAAUA